GAUUUAUUUUUGGCUUCUGUUCAGCCAGAUAGUGUGACUACUUUUUACUAGAUAUAUCUGACUUGAAUUAACUGUGCCAUAAAGAGAUAUUAUGGAGGCACAAAAUUCAUUGGAAACUCCCAAUAUUCAGCCACAGUCCACUGUCCCAGACUUACCUGAUGUUUGUGUUCCUACCACUCUGAGAGAUGGUGAAAGUUACCACGUCUUCAUUAGCUACAGCAGCACCGACUACCAGUGGACCCACUCUCUCAUCGACCAUCUGGAGUCCUACAGCCUGCAGGUCUGCUACCAUGAGCGUGACUUCACUCCUGGUCGCACCGUGUUAGAGAACAUGUCCGAAUGCAUCCAAGAGAGCCAGAAGGUCCUGCUGGUUCUCAGCCAAGAGUUUGUGAGGAGUCGGUGGUGUCUCCUAGAGGCCAACAUGUCUCUGUUUAGAGACUGUCUAGAGAGGAAGCCCAUCAUCCCAGUGAUGCUGCAGCCAGAAGUCCAGGUUCCUGUCCACCUCUGUCACCUUACUUACCUUGAGGCUAAUGACCCUGACUUUAUAAAUAAGCUGCUUAAAGUGCUCUGCACUCCCAACCAGCAGCUUCAGGGGUCCACCGUCAUCCCUUUCCAGCCUCCUUCCAUCUACAAUGGGAAGGCCCUGCAGCCUUUGAAAGCUGUCAAUGAUGAAGGACUCAAUAAAUGGGAUUCUGGCCAGUUCAGUGACAUGGAGGUACCAGACCAACUGCGCCUGAUCAUUGAAGACAAAGACAAGUACAGAGAGGCUCUGAGGAUUGUCAACAGUGUCUCUCAGACUAAAGUAUGGCUGCGACCUGUUUGGGUUAGAGUACUGAUCUACAUUGCCGCUGUAUUAUUUUCAUUAUCAUUGAUGGUCUAUUUUGCUUUUAUUUUUGUUGUUGGUGUUGUCUAUUGUGUCGAUUGUUUUCCAAAUCCUAGGGUUUUUUAUGUUUGUAUAAUUCUUGUUUGUUUCGGUUGCACUGUACUGGGGUUGAUAAUUCAGAUUAGCCUUUGGAAGAAGGAUGAUGAGAAGUACAUUGUGAGGGAGCUGCAGAAAGCUAUAGGUAAGGCAAACACAUUGCUCUCUGCAGAGAAGGUGUUAAUGGGCUGUCAGUCCAAUUCAAAAAUUCACCUGGUGUAUGUUUCUCUAGACGGCUGCAAACGGGAAUUUGGAGAAACUUUCCGCGACCACGUUAGUGCAGAAGAAAUGUUUCAAAGAGCAUUACAUUUCUUCUCUUCUGGUUAUGCCUGCUGCCUUGCUAAAAGGCACUUUCCGUUUCCCCAGCUCAACUACAAGAGUCACCUGGAGGGAGGAGUGUGUUUCUGUCAGUACGUUUCCCAACAGUUGAACAAGGGGGAAUGGAAGUAGGCAGAGCUUCAGGAUGUAUGAUAAUGCAGCAAUUGUCACUUUUAUUUAAAUUUGGCUCAUUCAAGUUUUUGUAAUAGGGAUUUUUGCAUAUAAUUUGCCAUGAAUCUUGAUUUUGUACUGAUAAUAGGUGCAGUUUUAAACCUGUCAUUUGAUCUGUCAUUCAGGGCUUUUCAAAACUGCAUUGUCAUCCUGAGCCAAUCAUAUAACAGUCCUCUUGAACAAACUAUUGCUUUAAAAGGUGAUUUUCAUUUACCCCAGAAUCCACUAAAAAUCAUGAACCUACUGAAGAAAAUAAGACAAAUACAUGAAAAUUACCUUCAUGCAAAGAGUAUUCCAUUUGCAUAUGUUUAUGCAAAUGGAAAACAUUUUAUAAGUGUUGUGAUUGACUCUUAUGGCAGCAGGUUUUAAGUUAAUUUAACUUAAACUGUAAAAUGAAUCUGUAUCGAUUUGUCUUCAAAUGUAGUUUAUGCUUUCUUUGUAAAUGGGAUAUAUUAGCUGUUAUCUAGGAAGAAAUCCACAUUUCUUGUAGUGAUUAAUGACUCUUUCUUUUAAAAUUGUCAUGUCAUUUAUAGGACAAAAAAAUGAAGUGUUAUGCUAGAAGGAAUAUUCAGACUUGCCUAUCCAACAUUUUUGUUUUUAAUGCCAUAUAACUUUCCUUUGGAGCAAAUGCAAACCAAAAUGAAGGGGUAAAAACACUCCAAGCUAAGCACUGAAUGUUGAUGUAUCCCACAUUGAAAUGUUCAGUAGCUAUGAAUCAUUAUUUCACCAAUUUUAAAUUGAAUCAUUCUGUAUAUUGAUAAUAUUUUCCUGCGAGAUGUUGUUCUAAAACAGUCAUUUUUGUACAGAAAUCUAAGAUUAACUCUUCUGUUUGACAAACAAUGGCGAGCAGUGAAAGGAACGCAGAAACUCUCAUCAUUCAGAUUAUUGUUACAGUAAUCUGAUUACUCCCAGAUAACAGAUUUUGAUUGUCAAGUAAAAAGACUAAGGGUUUUAUAAAAAAAAUAGUUACCUGAGAAUGUGUUUAAUUUGUAAGAAAAAUAGGUAUUGUUACACAAUUAGCUGUAAAUGAAUGUAUAUUGUUAUGUUAUAUAUGUUAUAUGUUAUAUGUAUAGUUAUAUGAAUAUAAUAUAACUGGAUUUAAUUGAAACUGAAUUGAAAUAGGCUGUUGUGAAUUGAAUUAAUUCAGGAAAUUAGUGACAAUACCUAGCCACAUUGGAUGUGCUAGAUAUGGAUGGAGUAAAGUUCCAGGUAUGUUGGAAGUGCUAUUUUCUUUUGUUUCAUAAUUUAACUUUGUGUUAUAGUUUGCUAUUUUAUAUUCUUUUUAUUAGCAAACAUUGUUUUUGUGUACAUUUUAUUAUGUAAAACACUGUGUGCUACUUAUGUAUGAAAAGUGCUUUAUUUUAAUUUUGUAAUAGCUAUUAGAUAAAAACAAACAAACAAACAAAACAACAAAAACAACAAACUAAGCAAAAAAACAAAAGGGGGCCACCACAAAGCAGUUGGGUUUAGGGCACCCAAGUGGGUAGCACCGGCCCUGUAUAUACAUGACACACAUAUUUCACUUUGAGGCUAAAAGAAGUUCCCCCCUCAGCCCUAAUGUGCUGAGUGAGACAAGUGUCACUUGUGCACAGUCCAUGAUGUAAAAGAUUGACAAAACCACAUCUCUCAUCUUGUUCCUGAUUUUCCCACAAUUUCUUUUUCUUCUUUUUUUUAACAUUAAAAGGUUAAUCAUAUAUUUUAUUGGAAAUGGGACUACAUUUUUAAAAGAUUAACAUCAAACUGUGUUGAUUUGAACUCACAACUGAGACCAUAAACUCAUUAAGAUGCCUUUCACAGUUUUCCCUCCCUGAGGCCAGGAACUUUUAUAGUUUAUAGUAGUUUUGCAUUGGUGUAACAAUUUGAGGAGCCUGAUUUCUGGGAAAAAGUCAGAGGAGUUUGUACUGUUGAAUUUUUAUAUCUCCAGAAUUGUUUUUUUUUUUUUUUUUUUUUUUUUUUUUAAUAUCAACUCAGACAGGAAGGUAUCUUUGAUAAAUGGAAUUCCCUAUUGGUUUUCAAUAUCUCAGAUAUUAAAUGGCCCUGGGUCACUGACACAAACAAUAUAGUGACUCAAUAAAGUAAUCUUUUCUAGAUGACCUUUCUUACACAUGUAGGACUUAAGAGUCACCUCUUUGAUUGGAGAGUGUGAAUCAUUAACUUUUCUACAAGAAGCAUUAGGGAUUUCUAUUAUUACCCGUCUGACGCUACCAUGCCCAAAAUCUCUAGAUGCAUAAUAUGUCAAUGCAAGUGACCGGAUACUAUUACUACUACUAUUUAACAGAAGAGCCCGAGUGAAACUUUAGUCAGAAGACAUGAAAACAUUCAACUGAAAUGGCAAAAUCUGUACCUCAUACCCUUAAAUACAGGCCAUAAUUCUGUCCAUAAGCAGCACAAGGGAAGUGCACUUCAUGUUUCCACAGUGGGGCAGACAUCACUGUCAAGUCUGUCAUUUAUCAAGCCAGAAGGUCCACAUAAGGAGAAAAGAAGGGUGGUUGGAUGGGGCUAAUAGCAGCAUUGUGGUC